rnacentral:rRNA from 1 species
GACGAACGCUGGCGGCGUGCUUAACACAUGCAAGUCGAACGGAAAGGCCCCUUUGGGGGUACUCGAGUGGCGAACGGGUGAGUAACACGUGAGUAACCUGCCCUUGACUUCGGGAUAACUUCAGGAAACUGGGGCUAAUACCGGAUAGGAAUCCUUGCUGCAUGGUGGGGGUUGGAAAGCUUCGGCGGUUUUGGAUGGACUCGCGGCUUAUCAGCUUGUUGGUGGGGUAGUGGCUUACCAAGGCUUUGACGGGUAGCCGGCCUGAGAGGGCGACCGGCCACAUUGGGACUGAGAUACGGCCCAGACUCCUACGGGAGGCAGAAGUGGGGAAUAUUGCACAAUGGGCGGAAGCCUGAUGCAGCAACGCCGCGUGCGGGAUGACGGCCUUCGGGUUGGAAACCGCUUUCAGCAGGGGCGAAGCUUGUGGUGACGGUACCUGCAGAAGAAGCACCGGCUAACUACGUG